GAUGAACGCUGGCGGCGUGCCUAAUACAUGCAAGUCGAGCGAACAGACGAGGAGCUUGCUCCUCUGACGUUAGCGGCGGACGGGUGAGUAACACGUGGAUAACCUACCUAUAAGACUGGGAUAACUUCGGGAAACCGGAGCUAAUACCGGAUAAUAUAUUGAACCGCAUGGUUCAAUAGUGAAAGACGGUUUUGCUGUCACUUAUAGAUGGAUCCGCGCCGCAUUAGCUAGUUGGUAAGGUAACGGCUUACCAAGGCGACGAUGCGUAGCCGACCUGAGAGGGUGAUCGGCCACACUGGAACUGAGACACGGUCCAGACUCCUACGGGAGGCAGCAGUAGGGAAUCUUCCGCAAUGGGCGAAAGCUUGACGGAGCAACGCCGCGUGAGUGAUGAAGGUCUUCGGAUCGUAAAACUCUGUUAUUAGGGAAGAACGAAUGUGUAAGUAACUAUGCACGUCUUGACGGUACCUAAUCAGAAAGCCACGGCUAACUACGUG
rnacentral:rRNA from 1 species